UGAGGUGUGCAAGAUAAUUAAAAAUUCUAAUUUAUCUUACACUAGAAAAACAAGAUACAUAGAUAUUAAACUUUUUAGUCUUUUUAUCCUGCAGACCAGUAGCUUAUAAAGAAAUGCACUCAGGAAAACAAAGUAUGGUGGCGGCUCACAGGAUAUGAGUAUAUGCAUUGGGGUCCUAGAAGUGGAAAAGGCAGAAUAAAAAAGAAGUCUAUGCUAUGAUGACCAAAUAGAAGGUUUAUUGAUGAUGUCAUGAUAAAAUAGAAGGUUUCUUGAUGAUGUGAUGAUAAAUCACAAGUCUCCGCUGUAAUGAUAAAAUAGAAGUCUCCACAGGUAAAAAGAGUCAUGUGACUGUUGAUUGCAAAGUCAUGUGUUUCCAGAAGAACUCCUCUAGCAGAUACUUAAAUCGAUGGUACAUCUAGAUACAGACACUCGUGUGGGGCGCAUAACAUAUUUUAUGCUAUUAUUGUCUGAGGUCCAAUCCAUCAAAGGGGUGAUUCAGAGUUUGUAUAUGAAACAAAAAAUGUGGCAGUCUCAAGCUACAUCAGUAUUUGCGUGAGCUACCUCUCUUACUUGCUAAGUUAAGGAGAGAGAACGAAUGUUUAUGUUCAGAUAAGCCUGGAAAUAUGAUGCACGAUGACGGAAAAGAAAGAAACAUGCACGAAGAGGAUAAUAAACAUGUUUGGGCCCGGAAAAGUCCGGCAUAUUUUUCAAAGUGUCUUCUUCUUUCUUGAUCGAUGGGGAACACUAGCUAAUUUUGCAGAGGAAACCAAGAUCAUCCUUUCUGACUGAAGAUCAAAGAAAUCAAUUGGUGUCUGCAUUCAGGAUACAAACCACUCAGACUGAUAACAGUCUGUUCAAUUAUGAGGCAAUUGGUCAUUCAUACAACCCUCACCGUUCUUUCUUCCCGCCUUAAGAAUUCAAGCAACAGUAAUAACAUUCAGUUUUUCCAGUUGCCUCUAUACCUCUGAAGCAUUGCUUUAACCCCACAUGGUAGGAUCUGCAUAAUGAAAUUUAUUAUUCUCUUUCCUUCAUACACGUUAGUCCUUUAACAUACUCUGUUGCAGACUGGUGGGCCUCUGUAUUCUAUUGUUGACAUUCUCCUGCUUAUUUCUUUUAGGUUACAACACAACAUGUCGAGCCAAGAAAUACAUGUUAUUUGUUCUUGCUCGCGCACAUUUUUUACAUGUUGAUAUUUAGGCCUAACCUAACAAAAACUCUGUUACGCAUUCAGCUACAAUGAUGGUUUCGACCAUUUCAUAGGUUCCAUGUUGCAUGAGUCGAGGAUCAGAUACCACAGUUGUUUUGUCCGCAGCUCCCGAAGAUGAGCCAACACGAGGUCAAACCUUGGUGAGAGAUUUUAUGAUGCGGUGAACUUGUGUGGUUCGCCAAUAUCAGUCGCACCAUUUACAAGAGUCAUUGAUGUUGAGUUUCUUGCGUGUCCCCAGUGUCCAUUUAGUCACUAAUAGAAACAACAUUGAAGAUGUCUCCAUUUUUCCUCUUUAUUUUUUGACUGUUUUUACUCGAGAUGGAAAAGAGCUGUAAGAUUUUGCAUUGUAGUGUGAUUAAGAUUACAUUGCAGAAAUUUAGUUUGCCAAGUGUUCGUUUUACCUUUGUACGGCUAUGUUUUGUGACCUAGAGAUAUGAUCAAUCGGGAGUUUCUCCAUUGUAUUCAGAGU